rnacentral:piRNA from 1 species
UUCUUCAGGUCAGUGCGGGCAAUGAUGGC